GAUGAACGCUGGCGGCGUGCCUAAUACAUGCAAGUCGAGCGAACGGACGAGAAGCUUGCUUCUCUGAUGUUAGCGGCGGACGGGUGAGUAACACGUGGAUAACCUACCUAUAAGACUGGGAUAACUUCGGGAAACCGGAGCUAAUACCGGAUAAUAUUUUGAACCGCAUGGUUCAAAAGUGAAAGACGGUCUUGCUGUCACUUAUAGAUGGAUCCGCGCUGCAUUAGCUAGUUGGUAAGGUAACGGCUUACCAAGGCAACGAUGCAUAGCCGACCUGAGAGGGUGAUCGGCCACACUGGAACUGAGACACGGUCCAGACUCCUACGGGAGGCAGCAGUAGGGAAUCUUCCGCAAUGGGCGAAAGCCUGACGGAGCAACGCCGCGUGAGUGAUGAAGGUCUUCGGAUCGUAAAACUCUGUUAUUAGGGAAGAACAUAUGUGUAAGUAACUGUGCACAUCUUGACGGUACCUAAUCAGAAAGCCACGGCUAACUACGUGCCAGCAGCCGCGGUAAUACGUAGGUGGCAAGCGUUAUCCGGAAUUAUUGGGCGUAAAGCGCGUGUAGGCGGUUUUUUAAGUCUGAUGUGAAAGCCCACGGCUCAACCGUGGAGGGUCAUUGGAAACUGGAAAACUUGAGUGCAGAAGAGGAAAGUGGAAUUCCAUGUGUAGCGGUGAAAUGCGCAGAGAUAUGGAGGAACACCAGUGGCGAAGGCGACUUUCUGGUCUGUAACUGACGCUGAUGUGCGAAAGCGUGGGGAUCAAACAGGAUUAGAUACCCUGGUAGUCCGCGCCGUAAACGAUGAGUGCUAAGUGUUAGGGGGUUUCCGCCCCUUAGUGCUGCAGCUAACGCAUUAAGCACUCCGCCUGGGGAGUACGACCGCAAGGUUGAAACUCAAAGGAAUUGACGGGGACCCGCACAAGCGGUGGAGCAUGUGGUUUAAUUCGAAGCAACGCGAAGAACCUUACCAAAUCUUGACAUCCUUUGACAACUCUAGAGAUAGAGCCUUCCCCUUCGGGGGACAAAGUGACAGGUGGUGCAUGGUUGUCGUCAGCUCGUGUCGUGAGAUGUUGGGUUAAGUCCCGCAACGAGCGCAACCCUUAAGCUUAGUUGCCAUCAUUAAGUUGGGCACUCUAAGUUGACUGCCGGUGACAAACCGGAGGAAGGUGGGGAUGACGUCAAAUCAUCAUGCCCCUUAUGAUUUGGGCUACACACGUGCUACAAUGGGCAAUACAAAGGGCAGCGAAACCGCGAGGUCAAGCAAAUCCCAUAAAGUUGUUCUCAGUUCGGAUUGUAGUCUGCAACUCGACUACAUGAAGCUGGAAUCGCUAGUAAUCGUAGAUCAGCAUGCUACGGUGAAUACGUUCCCGGGUCU
rnacentral:rRNA from 1 species